rnacentral:rRNA from 1 species
AUUGAACGCUGGCGGCAGGCCUAACACAUGCAAGUCGAACGAGUGGCGGACGGGUGAGUAAUGUCUGGGACACUGCCUGCUGGAGGGGGAUCACUACUGGAAACGGUAGCUAAUACCGCAUACCAUCGGAUGUGCCCAGAUGGGAUUCGCUAGUCGGUGGGGUAACGGCUCACCUAGGCGACGAUCCCUAGCUGGUCUGCGAGGAUGACCGGCCACACUGGAACUGAGACACGGUCCAGACUCCUACGGGAGGCAGAAGUGGGGAAGAUUGCACAAUGGGCGAAAGCCUGAUGCAGCCAUGCCGCGUGUAUGAAGAAGGCCUUCGGGUUGUAAAGUACUUUCAGCGGGGAGGCGUUACCCGCAGAAGAAGCACCGGCUAACUCCGGGCCAGCAGCCGCGGUAAUAC